UUUUUUUUUUUUUUUUUUUUUUUUUUCUCC
rnacentral:ribozyme from 13 species